UACGUAGGUGGCAAGCGUUGUCCGGAAUUAUUGGGCGUAAAGCGCGCGCAGGUGGUGCGGUAAGUCCUGUGUGAAAUCUCCCGGCUCAACUGGGAGGGUGCGGAGGAGACUGCCGGACUGGAGGCACUCAGAGGCCGGUGGAAUUCCCGGUGUAGUGGUGAAAUGCGUAGAGAUCGGGAGGAACACCAGUGGCGAAGGCGGCCGGCUGGGGGUGACCUGACGCUGAGGCGCGAGAGCGUGGGGAGCGAACCGG
rnacentral:rRNA from 1 species